UGUGAGGUAUAUGUGAGGUAUGUGUGAGGUAUGUGUGAGGUAAGGAUGUGCGGGUCGUGGUGGCCACUAACCUCCAGGCUGCUGCUGUGAGAUGGUGACUGCAGAGGGAGGGAGCUCAGACCCAGCAGCAAUGGGUCGUGGUCAGCAUUCCUUCCUGGCCCCGUUCCGCCGCACACUGUCCGCCCCGUCUGACGGGCGUCAUUCCUCCAUCCUGCCUGGCAGCGUCAGCUGCUGUGAUCGCGGAGCAUAGGUUGUGACAGUAAAGUCAAUGACUCCAGAAAGAAUCCAUUCCUGAUAGAAGAAUGAAAGACUCGGUGGAACUGCACACAAGCCCAGCUGUGUCAAUAAAGUUGUGCAGACAAGG